ACCCUAUCUGUUCAAUUCCUUUCAACAGGCAAGCUUUUUGCUUGGAUUAUGUUUUCUGUUGUUGUAUAAGACGAGCAUAAAGCUUGUUUGUUAGAAGGCUGUGCUUCGCCCUAUGCU
rnacentral:pre_miRNA from 14 species